GGGUGGAAGUGAGCAUGGGUGUGUUUGGGCGGUGGGGUGGGGGUGUGCAGGGGGUCCUCAGACUCCCUGGAGCGUGCCAGGCCCUGGAUCUGCAUGUGGUGGCAACGAGCAGAGCCAGCCUCACCCAGAUCCAUAGCGCACAGCUCCCCAUGCUCCCACCCCGGCCACAGGUGGUGGCAGCACAUGGAGCCAGGCUCACCCAGCCCAAAGUACUCCUGCCCAAGUCUCCGGCCACACAUGGUGGCAAGGUGCAGGCCCCAUAGCACUCCCACCAAAAUCCCUGGCUGCACAUGGUGGCAGCAUGUGGGGUGUGGGGCUAGCCUGACUCGGCCCCAUAGCAUGCAACUCCUACAGUGUGUGGGGCCCGCCCAGCCUGGCUCCAUAGCACAUGGCUCCCUGCUCUCCCAUCCCUCUCCCCCGGUGGGAGACCCUGAUGGGGCCUGUACCUGAAUUCUUGCUCUUGCAGGCAGGCAGGCUGGGAACAGCCACAGAGCAGCCAGGCACAAGCUCUGCCAGGCAGUGCCCAUGGCUCAGGGCUGGGGCAGGUCAGGCCAGGCUGGGGUCAGGGGGGUGGUUGCUUAACCACCUGAGCUGCACCUCCUGUGUGGAGGCACCGGCUUGCAGAGGGGCAGCCCAGGACCAGGGCUUGCAGAGGGCUUAUGGAAGGUCCCCGCAAGGCAGAUGGAAUUGCCUGGCGGACCCCAUCUGGCCCACGGGCCAUAUUUUGCCCACCCCUGAUGUAGACCAAUUUAAAUGUCAGCUGUCUAUUCAAGCCAGACAAGGCUACUUGACACAUGCUACUUAUGACCUAUGCCUGACUCCUAGCAAGUGUGUGUAUGCAAAGAAUUUAACCCCUUGAAGUCAGAUCUGUAUAAAAAUCAUGCAUGUAAGCAGGGCCAUUAACCCUUUAGUGACCCCAUGGCAAACAAAUUCAUGGACCCCUACUUUUUCACUCAGUAAUUAUAGCAUGUAAAAUAAGCACAGGUGGGCCUCUUCUUCGCUUAGGGCCUGAGGCAUGUGCCUAGUUUGCCUAUGUGUUAAUCUGGCCCUGCUGGUAAGGUAACGCACAAUAUUUAAAAAAUAGUGGAGAAACCACUCACAUUCCCCACAUAGAGUUGUUCAGGACUGGAGAUGUGAGGGGAGCAUGGGCAGGGAAAGAAGAGAUUUGUGGAAGGGGUUAAAGUUUUAAUCUCACCUUCCCCUGUCCAUCUGACAACCAUCUUCCCUGUCCUUUGGGAACACUUAGGACUCUUAUGGGGACCCAGUUCCAUAGCUUGUCAAUCCUAGCAGUGUCCUAAACCACUCAUCAGAUCACACAGCAAGACUCAUUGUUCCCUCAGACUUGUCCUUGAGUAGCAGUUGUUUUUCUCUAUUCUCACAUCACCUGUUUUCCUGGUUCUUGUUAAUGGGAUGCUUUGGGCAGAGUGAGGGCAGAAGUGCAUGGACAGGAGGCCUGCGUGUGUGAUACGCUUGAGUUGCAGACUAUUUUUAUGGGUGCACGCGAUGCUUAUGUUUCCAAUACUGCAGAGCUCCUAAGUUUUAUAACUUCACUUGGCAUGUAUUUGUAGCAGUUCUGUGGUAAUUUAUGAACUGUUUUUGACCUGGCAUGUUUUUGGAGUGCUUUCUGUUGGACUACAUACUGUAUAUUUAGGUUAAUACAGGGCAAUCAAAAUAUAUAAAGAGGCUGGAGAAGGGCUUUUCUCUGUGGUCAAAGGGAAAGGACUAUAAGCAAUGGCCUCAAAGUGCAGCAGAGGAAAUUCAGGUUGGAGAUUAGGAGGGACUUUCUGACUAUUAGGGAAGGUGGUCAAACAUACUUCUAUAGGUGUCCUAUUGAUACCCCUAGAAGUCGUGGAAUCUCCAUCGCUGGAAAUGUUCAAGGCAGGCUGGGAGAUGCUUGGCUGGAAUGGGUAGCAGAAGGCAGGGUAGAUUUGCACUUUACAGACUAACCAAAGUAGAUAUAUAAUUACAUCUCUCUGGGAUGGUUUUAGUCAGGGAUGAUCCUGCCUUGAGCAGGGGGCUGGAUUAGAUGAUGCUGUGAGGUCAUUUCUAGCCCUACUUUCCUAAGAUCCUAUUAAAAAUAAGCCACCCAAAAUAAGCAACGAACACAAAGAGUUGCUAAGACAAUACUAGACUUACUUUGAUGAUUUUACCUCCAGUUCUAACCAACCAAAAGAACUGAUUUUGAUGACAGGGGCUGACACACUAGAACUUGAGCACACAGAAAAGCAUGGUCAGUUUAAAAAUAAUUCGCUUUCAAGAGGGGGCAAUUUGGGGGAACUAGAACAAGGCACAGAUACACACUGGGGUUUUCUACAGUCAGAUCUUUCUAGUUUUAGGUAAAAUAGACUGUAGACUGUUGUUUUUAAACAGUCUGCAGCUUUUCUAAAUGCUGUGCUCCUUGUGCAAUAUAAACAAGAUUUUGUUUUUAAGGAGGCUGAUUAAUCAUUUUAUACAUUUUGCCACAGAAUGCCAAAGAAUGGCAGUAAAGAGACCACUAUCCUUAUUCUUGUCAACUCAGCCAAGGAAUUAAGUCUGAACGUCUUUCUUGAAAACUUUCUGUUUUAGUAAAGAAAAUGAAUCUCCCUUGUCAAUGCAACAGCAUUGUAAUGCUCUUAUUAAGCCUGUAGUUUCAGCAAGCAAGUGCCAAGGUAAGAUUGAAUAUGACUUUUAAUAUAAACAUAAGAAAAAAGCAUUUGCUUGUUGGAACAAAUUAAUGAAAAAUGGUAAUUUUGCUGACUUAUUUUCUGCCUUUCAAUGUUGGCAAGACCUAAUAAUAAAAUAAAACAGAAUAAUGGUUAGUACUUAGUUUAACUCACACUUUUCAUUGAUAGAUUUUAAAUGGCUUCACAAGGAUGGAUACAAGUUAUAGUUCCUAUCGUGCAACUGGGGAAUUGUAAAGCACUGAGAGGCAAUAUGACUUGUUUAUAAGUGGCACAGCUGUAAAGAGAAAUCAGCCUUCCAGAUGCCCAGUCCAGUGCCAGAACAAAAUAGCUGUUCUCUAUAUCAAGAAAAAUACAUAAUUUGCACCCAUUCAGCUUAGCCUGCUUGAAGGGUAACUAGGUCUCAUGUAGAAGUUCAUAUGCAAAUGAUACAGCCACAUAGGCAAUGAUAUAGAUGUUCCCUGGCUGGCUUCCUGGCAGUACCAGUCUAACCUGGGACCUCUGGACUUUAAAGCAUGAACCUUUGUUGCCUAAAACUAAAAGAGUCAGCCAUGUUAGCCAACUCAUGAAUCUGUGUUUGCCCAGACUCCACCAGAGGGAAAUGAAGGCCUCACCAAGAAGAUAUGAAAUAAAAGUAUCUGAUGUAUUAAACUUGAUUGGUGAAUGCUUCAUUUAUACAGCUUUUCCCUUGUCCUCUUAGAAAUCCAGUUUAAAGGGAGGGACUCAUUUAAUUUUAAUCUGUUUUGCUGUUGAAUGAAUGAAACAGCAUCUAUGAGUUAAGUACUGUAGUGCUUGUGUUUAGGUUUGACUAAAAUGAACACUAUACAAUUACUUUGCAGAAGGUGACUCAAGAGACUGUUCAAGGAGGUGACUGUACAGAAAUAUUUGCAAAAAAUAUGAAUGCUGAAAGUGGUGUUUAUCUGAUAAAACCAGAAAAAACUGCCAAACCAUUUAAGGCUUUCUGUGAAAAGUGUGAAGAUGGAGGAUGGACUGUUUUUCAGAGGCACGAUGGGAAGGGUGAGGAUGGUCAGCCAGUGAAUUUUAUGAAGGCCUGGCGAAGCUAUAAAAGAGGAUUUGGACAUGUUGAGUAUGAACACUGGCUAGGACUUGACAAUAUUUAUACCCUGAGCCGGCAGGCAGGCAAAACAUGCUAGCUAUGAGUGGACAUGAAGAACUGCAAAGAAGAGCAUGCCUAUGCACUAUAUGCUACUUUCACAAUUGGCAAUGAAAGUGAAUUGUACCAAAUUUCUCCAGGAAACUUCACAGGAAAUGUAGAUAAUCCUAGAAAGGGAGACAAGUAGUCCUAGACAAGCUGUGCAAGGCCUAAUAGUAAUAUUGUCUGGUAUCCCAUGGCACCCUCAAAAGGAUCUCAUAUCACCGUGGCUGAGAAUCACCGAGGUCAGGUAUAGAUGGAAACAGAGAUGCAUUCAGAGGCACAGAAGAAUUUGGGGAUCAGAAUGGCCAACAUUUCACUACCUAUGACAGAGACGAUGGCUACACUGUAUGCAUCAUUGAUCAUGAAUAUGACAACUGUGCCCAGGAUGUAGGAUAUUCUGGGUGGCG